rnacentral:rRNA from 1 species
GGCAUAUCAAUAAGCGGAGGAAAAGAAACCAACCGGGAUUGCCUCAGUAACGGCGAGUGAAGCGGCAAGAGCUCAAAUUUGAAAGCUGGCCCCUCCGGGGUCCGCAUUGUAAUUUGCAGAGGAUGCUUCGGGUGCAGCCCCCGUCUAAGUGCCCUGGAAUGGGCCGUCAGAGAGGGUGAGAAUCCCGUCUGGGAUGGGGUGCCUGUGCCCGUGUGAAGCUCCUUCGACGAGUCGAGUUGUUUGGGAAUGCAGCUCUAAAUGGGUGGUAAAUUUCAUCUAAAGCUAAAUAUUGGCCGGAGACCGAUAGCGCACAAGUAGAGUGAUCGAAAGAUGAAAAGCACUUUGAAAAGAGAGUUAAACAGCACGUGAAAUUGUUGAAAGGGAAGCGCUUGCGACCAGACUCGCCUCCGGGGUUCAGCCGGCAUUCGUGCCGGUGUACUUCCCCGGGGGCGGGCCAGCGUCGGUUUGGGCGGCCGGUCAAAGGCCUCCGGAAUGUAGCGCCCUUCGGGGCGCCUUAUAGCCGGGGGUGCAAUGCGGCCAGCCUGGACCGAGGAACGCGCUUCGGCUCGGACGCUGGCAUAAUGGUCGUAAACGACCCGUCUUGAAACACGGACCAAGGAGUCUAACAUCUACGCGAGUGUUCGGGUGUCAAACCCGUACGCGCAGUGAAAGCGAACGGAGGUGAGAGCCCCCUCGUGGGGCGCAUCAUCGACCGAUCCUGAAGUCUUCGGAUGGAUUUGAGUAAGAGCGUAGCUGUGGGGACCCGAAAGAUGGUGAACUAUGCCUGAAUAGGGCGAAGCCAGAGGAAACUCUGGUGGAGGCUCGCAGCGGUUCUGACGUGCAAAUCGAUCGUCAAAUUUGGGUAUAGGGGCGAAAGACUAAUCGAACCAUCUGGUAGCUGGUUCCUGCCGAAGUU